rnacentral:tRNA from 1 species
GUCUCCGUAGUAUAUAAGUAUUACACUAGUCUUGUAAACUAGAAAAGAGGGAUGAACAUCUCCGGAGACU